UACAUAGGUGGCAAGCGUUAUCCGGAAUUAUUGGGCGUAAAGGGUGCGUAGGCGGUUGGUUAAGUUUGUGGUGAAAGCGUAAGGCUCAACCUUAUUAAGCCACAAAAACUGGCUAACUAGAGUGCAGUAGAGGCAAGUGGAAUUCCAUGUGUAGCGGUAAAAUGCGUAGAUAUAUGGAGGAACACCAGUGGCGAAGGCGGCUUGCUGGGCUGUAACUGACGCUAAGGCACGAAAGCGUGGGGAGCAAAUA
rnacentral:rRNA from 1 species